rnacentral:lncRNA from 1 species
AGCCAUGUUGAGUGUGAUGCUCCGAUUUUGCCUAACACUCCUCACCUGACCGGUGGCAGAAAGCGUGUCCUUCCACUGACUGCCUCUCCUCCACCUGGGAAAGCAGUAGGGAGGCUGCGGCCAGAAGAUGACCAAGAAGUUGACCAAGGUAAGCUUGGGCUACAGAGUCUGUCCUUGUUAAAAACACUAUGAAAGAAAAGGAGGAGGGGGGAGAGGAGGAGGAAGAGGAGGAGGAGGAGGAGGAGGAGGAGGAGGAGGGAGAGAGGAGGAGCAGUUCAGACUCAAAAGCAUUCAUGAGGUGGAAGGAAGGUAAUGGAAGUGCACAGGGAUCCUUCUUUCUGGAACCUUCUCCUUCUUCCUCCCUGUCUUCUUACCCCGACCACCCUCCUCUUCCUUCCGCCCUUGUCUCCACACAAACAUCUGCUUGGCCAUGCUGUGACUUGCUUUUUUUUUUUCCACUCCUACAUUCUGCUUCCCAAGGUGCUUCAUCCCAGAAUACACCUGCUCCUCCGAAGGAGGGUGCCUGAAUUAUAAAUGAGCCUCCGACAGAUAGAGAUGCGCUCAAUACAAGAGAAAGGGGGAACAGC